rnacentral:lncRNA from 1 species
UAAACUAAAUCAAAGUAAACAUACAAACCAAAACACACACAAACUAAUCCUAUCUACUUCUCCCCUAUAGUUUAGAACAUACAUUGCCUUUAGUGUAAAAUAAUUAAAGUGCAAACAAGAAAUCUUCCCUGAGUAGGCCGAAUCCUUGUUGUUAUGAUAAUCUCAGGGUUUGUUUGCUCCAAGUGGAUGAAAAAGUACCAAAAAAAAAUACUACGACA